rnacentral:lncRNA from 1 species
AUGUCAGAAAUGAGCAACCAAAAAGCAAAACCAGAAUUUGUGUGCACUCUGCCAAAAAGUGCACUGGACAACCUUAUUCAGGUUAGGAAAACCUUCCAAAACACUCUCUCUGAAAAUCAACUUUUAAGAGAGGAUACAAAGACAGCCAGACAGCAAAUCAAACAGCUGAUGGCCAAAAUUUCACUGAUGCAUGCCAAGCUGGACCAGUAUGAGAUCCAAGCUGGAGAACUCACUGAUGAAUCAGUGUCAUGCAAAGUGGAAAUGAGCAGCGCCAGCAACGAAAAAGGGGAUCAGACUUGUUGUGUUUUCAUCUCAGGUCAGGAAAAGAUCAUCACCUUUGACCUUGAGAUGAACCAUCUGAAACAGCAGCUUCAGCAGAGGGACAGCGAAAUCCUGAUCCUCAAACAGGAGAAGAAAAGUCUGUCUGCUGAGCUCGCACAGCUUCAGACACGCGAGAAACCAAAAUUUGUGUGCACUCUGCCAAAGAGUACACUGGACGACCUUAUUAAGGUUAGAAAAGCCUUCCUAAAAGCUCUGUCUGAAAAUAGACCUUUAAAAGAGGAUUCAAAGACAGCCAGAGAGCAAAUCAAACAGCUGAUGGCCCAAAUUUCAAUGAUGCGUACUAAGCUGGAACAAUAUAAGAUCCAAGCUGGAGAAGCAAAAGAGGAAGAGACUUGUUCAGAUCAGGAAAAGAUCAUCACCUUUGACCUUGAGAUGAAACGUCUGAAACAGCAGCUUCAGCAGAGGGACAGCAAAAUCCUGAUCCUCAAACAGGAGAAGGAAAGUCUGUCUGCUGAGCUCGCACAGCUUCAGAAACAUGAGGCCUCUCUGAAAGAAACUCUGUGGAAUGAGAAAACACACAGAGAGAAUCUGGAGCAGGAGAAGAAAGUCCUGGAGGAAGAAAAUAAGAAAGUCCUGGAGGAGCAGAAAGUGGUGAAGGACACAAAAGAAAUGCAGAAAAAACAUGGACGAGCAGACAAAAGAAUUAGAGGAGGCAAAGACAGCGACAGUAGAAAUGGUAACCCCAGAGAGAUACAUCCUCCAGAUGUAUCUGAGCACAGAUGA